rnacentral:rRNA from 1 species
ACGAGUGGCGGACGGGUGAGUAAUGUCUGGGAAACUGCCCGGUGGAGGGGGAUAACUACUGGAAACGGUAGCUAAUACCGUGUAACGUCGCAAGACCAAAGAGGGGGACCUUCGGGCCUCUUGCCACCGGAUGUGCCCAGAUGGGAUUAGCUUGUUGGUGAGGUAACGGCUCACCAAGGCGACGAUCCCUAGCUGGUCUGAGAGGAUGACCAGCCACACUGGAACUGAGACACGGUCCAGACUCCUACGGAAGGCAGCAG